AACAGUAGGAAAAAAGUAAGAGUGUUAAGUGUUCUUCUGAGAUCGGCUCUGUGUCGAAUUUGUUUUAAUGGAUUGCACCUGAUCCUACCCACCUGUUUUAAAUAGGCUGGACUGUGACGAUCAUUGAGCCUGCACACCGAGGAAGACUAUAGCUGAAACAUUUGGGGUUGGUACUGUGCAUGCUUUGGGGCAGAGGUGGUCACUGCUCACCAGCCUUCAGCCCCACACUAUCAAACACAAAAGACAUCCGACUGAAGGUUAAGCGACAGAGCUGAGAUCAAUCUACUGCACAGGACACAUCAUACCUAAUGCAACUCUGGCAGCCGAGGCGUCAUAAUUUAUCCAGAACGACACCCAGGAUAGGAUGGUGAUGAGGAUGGAGGGCAUGUACGUCUGCAGGAUGAAGUAUCCGAUGUUUCGCUUCAGCUUGAAGCUCAGAGACAGUCGAGGGUAGGCACCUGCAGGGAAACACAGCCAAAAGGAAAAAGCCCUUUUUAAUUCAAGAGCAACGAGGGGAUGUCUCGCACUUUGUUUUGGUUCCUAUGGCAAUGGCCUCACAAACUGGUUUCAUCACCAUGGAAACAAGCAAGCGUGGUGCAUAUUGCAAAGCAUCUUAUGACGUUAGCCUUGAGAUUAUGUGUGUGCAAACACUACAAUGCAGAGCAAAAUAUAAAACUGUUUUCACACACAUACACUGUUAAAAGGAACAGUUUGACACAACAGGGAGAAAACAGCUAGCAUUUCUGAGAUGUUGGGAGGCAGAUUUUGUUACCUUUGGACGGAGCCAGACUAGCUGUUUCCCCUGUGUCCAGUCUUUAUGCAAAGAUAAUAUUUAAGAUAAAGUUAAGCUAA